rnacentral:lncRNA from 1 species
GGCAGAUCAUCAAUGGUGAGGUGACCACCUCAACCGUGCCUGACUCUGAAGGAAAUAGUCACUGCGGUAACCAAGGCGCCCUCAUCGACCUUGCCGAGUUGGACACCCCCAGCAGCUCAUCCCCAGUGUUGGCCCCAGCACCUGCCCCACCCACCUCAGGCAUCCCUAUCCUUCCCCCACCUCCCCAAACCUCCGGGCCUCCACGAAGCCGUUCAUCCAGCCAGGCUGAGGCUCCCUCAGGGCCUGACAGCACGAACAAUGCCCUCUCCUUGCUGGAUGAGGAGCUCCUCUGUCUAGGCCUCAGUGACCCAGCCCCCACUGCUCCCAAAGAGUCAGCUGGAAAUAGUCCAUGGCACCUGUUCCAGAAUGAACCAUCAUCAGAUCUGGACUUCUUCAGUCCCAGGCUAGUGUCUGCAGCCUCCUGCCCCUCAGAGGGAUCCCUGCUCCCUCCCCCAGUUUCUACCUCAAGUCUGUCCCAAGCUCCACUGCCUGCUGCCUUCCCAGCUCCUGUGGUCCCAGCGAGCGCAGUGACCCACAGCACUGGUUCCUUUACGUUCUCUUCUGGACCUGCCCCAGCCUUGGUUCCAAAGGCUGAGCCCGAAGGCCCAGAGUACCCCAGCUCCAGCAUCUCACACCGCCUGGAUGCCCUUGAUCAGCUUCUGGAAGAGGCCAAAGUGACUUCAGGCCUGGUGAAACCUGUUUCUUGCUUCUCUCCUGGGCCCACCGCCUCCCCACUGCUUCCUGCCUCUACCCCAGCCAGGCCUCUCCUGCCCUUCUCAACUGGGCCCGGAAGUCCUCUCUUCCAGUCGCCAGCCUUCCAGUCCCAAGGCAGCCCUCAGAAGGGCCCAGAGCUCUCCCUGGCUAGUGUCCAUGUGCCCCUGGAAUCGAUCAAGCCUAGCAGUGCCCUUCCUGUGACAGCCUAUGAUAAAAAUGGCUUCCGCAUCCUUUUCCACUUUGCUAAGGAGUGUCCGCCAGGACGGCCUGAUGUGCUGGUGGUGGUGGUUUCCAUGCUGAAUACAGCUCCCUUGCCAGUCAAGAGUAUAGUGCUACAGGCCGCAGUGCCCAAGUCAAUGAAAGUGAAGUUGCAGCCACCCUCUGGGACAGAACUUUCUCCAUUUAGUCCCAUCCAGCCACCUGCAGCCAUCACCCAGGUCAUGCUGCUGGCCAAUCCAAUGAAG